AUUGAACGCUGGCGGCAUGCCUUACACAUGCAAGUCGAACGGCAGCACGGGUGCUUGCACCUGGUGGCGAGUGGCGAACGGGUGAGUAAUACAUCGGAACAUGUCCUGUAGUGGGGGAUAGCCCGGCGAAAGCCGGAUUAAUACCGCAUACGAUCUACGGAUGAAAGCGGGGGACCUUCGGGCCUCGCGCUAUGGGGUUGGCCGAUGUCUGAUUAGCUAGUUGGUGGGGUAAAGGCCAACCAAGGCGACGAUCAGUAGCUGGUCUGAGAGGACGACCAGCCACACUGGGACUGAGACACGGCCCAGACUCCUACGGGAGGCAGCAGUGGGGAAUUUUGGACAAUGGGCGAAAGCCUGAUCCAGCAAUGCCGCGUGUGUGAAGAAGGCCUUCGGGUUGUAAAGCACUUUUGUCCGGAAAGAAAUCCUUGGCCCUAAUACGGUCGGGGGAUGACGGUACCGGAAGAAUAAGCACCGGCUAACUACGUG
rnacentral:rRNA from 1 species